UACGUAGGGUGCGAGCGUUAAUCGGAAUUACUGGGCGUAAAGCGUGCGCAGGCGGUCUGUUAAGACCGAUGUGAAAUCCCCGGGCUUAACCUGGGAACUGCAUUGGUGACUGGCAGGCUUUGAGUGUGGCAGAGGGAGGUAGAAUUCCACGUGUAGCAGUGAAAUGCGUAGAGAUGUGGAGGAACACCGAUGGCGAAGGCAACUCCCCUGGACCUGUACUGACGCUCAUGCACGAAAGCGUGGGGAGCAAACAGG
rnacentral:rRNA from 1 species